rnacentral:rRNA from 1 species
CAAAGGAAGCGAUUCCGGCAACGGAUGGGCAUGCGUGACAUUAGCUAGUUGGCGGGGCAACGGCCCACCAAGGCGACGAUGUCUAGGGGUUCUGAGGGGAAGGUCCCCCACACUGGUACUGAGACACGGACCAGACUCCUACGGGAGGCAGCAGUGAGGAAUAUUGGUCAAUGGGCGCGAGCCUGAACCAGCCAAGUCGCGUGAGAGAUGACGGCCCUACGGGUUGUAAACCUCUUUUGUCGGGGAGCAAAUUCCGCCACGCGUGGCGGAGUCGAGAGUACCCGAAGAAAAAGCAUCGGCUAACUCCGUGCCAGCAGCCGCGGUAAUACGGAGGAUGCGAGCGUUAUCCGGAUUUAUUGGGUUUAAAGGGUGCGUAGGCGGACUGUCAAGUCAGCGGUAAAAUACGGGGGCUCAACCUCCGCCCGCCGUUGAAACUGACGGUCUUGAGUGGGCGAGAAGUAUGCGGAAUGCGUGGUGUAGCGGUGAAAUGCAUAGAUAUCACGCAGAACUCCGAUUGCGAAGGCAGCAUACCGGCGCCCAACUGACGCUGAAGCACGAAAGCGUGGGUAUCGAACAGGAUUAGAUACCCUGGUAGUCCACGCAGUAAACGAUGAAUACUAGCUGUCCGGGGCGAAUG